UUAGUAUGAUAUAUGAAAUAGAUAAAUAAUGUAUACUUUUUUAUGGAAAUUAAUUUAUUCAACUGCUAUGAAAAAUAACUUAUUUUAAAUUUUAUUAAUAUUUGUAAAAGUUUUUUUUUAAGAUUAUGAAUAAUAUUGAAAAAGUUACAAUUUAAUUAAAAGCUUGAGUUUGUGUUAAAUAGAAAACCUUUUGGGUCAUUUAGCAUUGAAAAGGGCCCAUAAUUUUAAAAGUCCAUGUGUAACAGUUUUUUUUCCGGGAAGCAGAUAUUUUUUUUUUGGAAACUCGGUUUUGGCAAACGGUUAAUGUUCUCUUAUCUCUUUCUUUUUUUGUGCGGUCUCUCUUUCUUCUUCAAUGAGAAGAAAACAAAAACAAAUCCGAUUCUGCACCUCGAAUUCCUUCUAACAAAGAUAGAUGAUCGAGAAUUCUAAUUCCAUCUGAAGAGCUAUGCAAGUGAUUUGGAGAUAUUAGACAUGCAAGCAAUCAGAUCUUCAAACUUGAUGGAUCCACCGAUGACUUCAUCUCGUACGAUCAUGGAACAAUCAGAUCUUCAAACUUGGUAGAUCAAACUUGGAACAAUCAGAUCUUCAUCUCGUACACAACUUCAUCUCAUACGAUCUGUCGAGAACAAACUAAAUAAUUGUAUAAUGGUGGUCACUAAGCAAGUUCCUACCGAAGCAUUGCGUUAGACAGAUAAGUAUAUGACUAAUUUUUUUUUAAUCAUCUUAUAGUAUUUUAGUCAGUUCACUUAUCUAUGUAUAUAUUUAUGAGCAGGUGAAUGAUGGCAUCUUUAGGGCCAGAGCUUUGUCAGGAGGUGAAAGACAUGGGAGAGAAACAAAACGUGAUGCAAUCCAUAUUAAGGAGAAACAUUCAUAUUGAACGUGGGGAUAUUCAAUGGCCGGAAUAAUUCUUCCACUAAAUAUUUUGAAUGUCUAAGAUAUCUUCACAUUCUGAAUAACACGCCAUUUUCCAAGAGGAAGGCUACGUUGAACUCGCUUAAUGAGAGUUCUCUUGCAGGAGCACUGAACUUUAGCACCCUAAUAAUAACAAAUGAUUGUAUCAUAAAUAAAAUCUACUAUAUUUAAAUUCAAAACAAAAAAAAUGAUUAUAGAACUAACAGUUUGAUCAGCUAAAACCAUUUCUAAUGUUUCAUCAGCGUAAGGUGGGUUUUGUAUCCAUGAGUGAAUCAGUUUCACUUGAACACGCCACGCAUCCUUAAAGGGUUUAAGGUCGCUGAUGAGAUGAAACCUUUUGUUAGCAGACAUGUUUUUUUGGUGAGGAAAGUCGUAAUAGAAUGUGUACAAUGGUGUGGUACUCGGGUAGAAUAUAUAGUAGAGGGACAAUACCCUAGUUGAGAAUAAGAUUUGCUUAAUUUACAAGGCAUUUUUGGCGAAAUUAAUGAAAAGAAUAUUUUGUUUUUA